rnacentral:rRNA from 1 species
CCUACGGGAGGCAGCAGUGGGGAAUAUUGGACAAUGGGCGAAAGCCUGAUCCAGCAAUGCCGCGUGAGUGAUGAAGGCCUUCGGGUCGUAAAGCUCUUUUACCAGGGAUGAUAAUGACAGUACCUGGAGAAUAAGCUCCGGCUAACUCCGUGCCAGCAGCCGCGGUAAUACGGAGGGAGCUAGCGUUGUUCGGAAUUACUGGGCGUAAAGAGUACGUAGGCGGUUAUUCAAGUCAGAGGUGAAAGCCCGGGGCUCAACCCCGGAACUGCCUUUGAAACUAGAUAACUAGAGUCUUGGAGAGGUUAGUGGAAUUCCGAGUGUAGAGGUGAAAUUCGUAGAUAUUCGGAAGAACACCAGUGGCGAAGGCGACUAACUGGACAAGUACUAACGCUGAGGUACGAAAGCGUGGGGAGCAAACAGGAUUAGAUACCCUGGUAGUCCACGCCGUAAACGAUGAUAACUAGUUGUUCGGUCACUUGGUGACUGAGUGACGCAGCUAACGCAUUAAGUUAUCCGCCUGGGGAGUACGGUCGCAAGAUUAAAACUUAAAUGAAUUGACGG